CGCGAGAUCAGGCUGGGCAGGCGCCUCCUGCGGACGGGAACCGGGAGCCCAGCAGGGCUGGGACUGCGAGCCGGGCGGCCGGCCCGCCGCGCUCCUAGGAGGGUGGGACCGGCAGGAAGCGAAAUGGUUACUUUUUUAAAUGCGGGCUCUGGUUACUUUUGAAUAUCGCCCGCCCCGGGCGCAGAGCGGACACGGGGAUUUUUCUCUCUCCGGUGGAUGGUUCUGGAGAAACGCAGCGCUGGGGCGUGGGGGAAUGCGGUGGCCUGGACGAGGCGACUCAAACACGGGGGAGCAGAGUCGGCGGCGCCGGCGGGCACAGAGGGUCUCCGGGGAGCUGAAGGACCUUUUGCCGCCUCCCCACUCACGGCUGGUUAGGGAGCUGCAGCGGCAGCCAUUGUUUGAUGUCCUGUGACUGAGAAACCGGCCUUUUCACUUUCUUACUAUGCCUUUGGAGAUGGAGCCCAAAAUGAGCAAACUCGCCUUUGGGUGCCAGAGGAGCUCCACGUCAGAUGAUGACUCAGGCUGCGCGUUGGAAGAGUAUGCCUGGGUGCCCCCAGGCCUCAGACCCGAGCAGGUGGGAACCUCAUCGCCCUGUGUGUGUGUUUUUCCAGGGGAUUUAAGAUUUCUUAAGAAUUGCUGUGCCCCUUGUGUCGAUAAAGGUCAAACCUUCUCAAGUAUAUAUGCAUGUUGGCCUUACCUAGUGGGUGUUAAUCAAAUAUUGAAAUUUGAGAGAAUUUUCUUUGAAAUGCUUCCUUUCAGUGGCUUGUUUGUAAUAAUUGUCAGAAGAUCACAUCUUGGCUUGGCUUUUCUCCUAGGGGCUUCAGUGGAUGGAGAAAGCAAACCGAGACCCUCAUUGUAUUCCCUGCAAAACUUUGAGGAGAUGGAGGGAGAGGACUGUGAGAAAAUGAGCAAUAUGGGGACUUUGAACUCUUCCAUGCUGCACAGGAGUGCAGAGUCCUUGAAGAGUCUAAGUUCAGAGUUGUGUCCAGAAAAAAUCAGGCCUGAGGAGAAACCAGUGCAUCUGCCCGUGCUUCGAAGAUCCAAGUCUCAGUCCAGACCACAGCAGGUCAAGUUUUCGGAUGAUGUCAUCGACAAUGGAAACUAUGACAACAUCGAAAUCCGGCAGCCUCCGAUGAGUGAGAGGACUCGAAGACGGGUCUACCAUUUCGAAGAGAGGGGAUCCAGGUCUCAUCACCAUCGCCGCAGGAGAAGUAGGAAGUCCCGCUCUGACAAUGCUCUGAAUCUUGUUGCAGAAAGAAAAUACUCUCCCAAGGAUAGGCUGCGGCUUUACACCCCUGAUAACUACGAGAAAUUUAUACAGAAUAAAAGUGCCCGGGAGAUCCAAGCAUACAUCCAGAAUGCUGAUCUGUAUGGACAGUAUGCCCAUGCCACCUCCGAUUACGCUCUGCAGAACCCGGGAGGGCCUAGGUUUCUGGGACUCUACGGUGAGGACGAUGAUUCUUGGUGUUCCUCCACCUCCUCCUCCUCUGACUCCGAAGAAGAAGGAUAUUUUCUUGGACAACCAAUUCCUCAACCCCGGCCCCAGAGAUACGCCUACUACACAGAUGACCUUUCGAGCCCAACCUCACUCCCCACUCCUCAGUUUGGUCAGAGGACAACUAAAUCCAAGAAGAAAAAGGGACCCAAGGGCAAAAACUGUAUUAUUUCUUAACCUAGUAGCUGUGAAGAUCAUGUUUAAACUUUGCCAUUAACCAUCUUGAAGCGUAUCUUCUUUCUACCAUAGGAAAGUUGCUAAAAUAGUUUAAAGUGCUUUGCCCAUGUAAAUGAGACCCCUGCUGCUGUUUACAGUGUCAGAUUAACAUUGGGAAGGUGUGAUUUCUCCAGUUUGCCCUCCUUGGAUGGUGCCAGUUUGAUGUGACAUCUUGUGCCUGCCAGGUGCAUUACAGUUCUAUGUAGCGGCUUUGGUCUCCAAUCCUCAAGAGAAUCCUCAAGAAACUGUCACGAGGUGAUUGGACGGGGGUGUUGAUUUUAGACAAUGGAGAACCGCCACCUUUGUAAAGCGAUAGUGUUUGUCGUUUGUCUACACCAGGUUGGCCCAGGUCCUGAUCAGUCUGUCUUGUUGUGCGGCAUGCACGUAGUCACACUGACCCAGCCAAUUCUGUGCAUCCCAUCGUGCGAGACCACCUCGUCCCCUUUCAAUUAGCCAGGUAAACAAUGCAUUGUAUUAGCUCCAGCUACAGAUUGAAAAAGACACUGCUAUUUAUAAUGUAGUAUUUCAUAGACUUAAGUGUAUUCCUAAUUUAACGGUGCAAAUAUUAAUGUACAUAUGUACAGUUCAGAUUUUAAAGCUGGUAUUUUUAUAUCCCUGAAUUGCAAGACGUUUGUUACACUGCAGUGCUAGAUUUGUUGGGGAACCAGAAACAGCAUUUAUGGAUGAAAUGAUUGCUUGUAUUUUAGUCAGGGUUUAUAAGCUUAGAUGGUCAAAUUUAUAUUGCCUAGUGAUGGAAAGUUUAAAUUUUUUGAUUUUUCAAUAUUAAAAAGGCUCUGUAUGCAUGGUGGGGCUAUGUAAAUACUCUUUAAAACUAUGGCCCUAUUAAUCUUACGAGUGCUAUUUAUGGGUCAAGCAAUGUAAACUGUAUAAAUGUAAAAACAAACCCAUACAUAUCCCUGGAAUAUAUGGUAAAAACAAGUAGAAGUUGUUUGGGUGAAUGUUUUUUUUCCCCUUUGGGGAUGGUAGGGGUGCCUUUCCCAUUUUCAACAAAGUGGUGAUUAUUUCCUGGGAAGAGACCAAAACUACAAGGAUCUGCUGUAUAAGGCAGAGGAUUCUAUAGAUUUAUUAUUUGAAGAGAGGCUAUUCCUUUUUAUCCCCUCCCUUCCGGCUAAUUUGUUGGCCUUGAACAGCAAUUUUGAAAACUUUUUCUUUUAAAAUCUUCAGAGGACUCUGUGCCACUACUUCGAGUUUACGAGGUUCUACUUCAAGAGCAAAUUAUCUUGGAGUUGAACUGAUGAGCUGGUAUUUUGUGAUGUGCCAUUCCUGCACAUAGGAUUCAGUCCUAACUAAGGUCCUAGUGGUAUUUUGGACCUUUAGGAAGUUAUUUAAUAAAUGCUUAAUAAAUAACGAACUACCUUUCUGAACAGAUCUUUGCAAACAUAUCCAGCUAACUUCCAUUUUGCUCCUCUGUUCUGGCAUGAUUUCUUUUGCCAUUCUUCUACCAUUAACAGGCCAUGGUUGACUCCUACAUAUCCCCUACCCCUACUAAUAGGUGUGAAAUAGGACCUGAGACACAGAGACAAACUUGUACAUCUUUACUGGAAUGGGGAAAAGCUGUUAGGCCUUGGGGGAGGGGGCUAUGAAUCCAGUAGAUAAGCCAGUGGUCUAGCAUCCCCUACACCCAGCCCUGACUAGGGCAAGGCUUUGUAGCUGUGCUCCUAGAGAAGCACACAACCGGGCUGGGGGGAGAGCGCCUUACUCAACAAUAUAUCAUCAUCUCCCUCGUCUGGUUCAUUUUGAAAAACAUAGCAGCAGUGAAAAGGAAAUGCGUGCAUCUGGUAAAAAACAAAAACCAGAAAAACUCAAAGACAGCGGAGUGUCUCCUUUUCACUCUUCAUCCCCAGUCCCUCACGUCCCUUUCCAGAAGUAACCACUAUUAGUCAUUUCUAGUGUGUCCUUCAGACGUUCAAAGCAUAUUUAUAUAAAUAUCUCUUUUAAAAUGGUAGCAAAGUAUAUAUGCUUAGAUUUGCUUUUUUCACUUCAUAUGUGGACAUUCCACGUUAGCACAAAUGGGUCUACCUCAUUCUUUCAGUGAUGGUAUAAUACACCGUAACGGACUUACCCAGGCCCUUAGUGAUGGACUUGAAUUCCUCAUAGAUCCCUUAUCCUGCACUGGCACAUCUGCACAUAAAUUCUGAGCAGCAUCAUUCCUGGGACAGAAGUUAUGUAUUUAAAAUUUGGAUGGCUAUCACCCAUUUCCCUCCCAAAGUAAUCUGCCUGAUUAACAUUUACACUAACAAUGUAGGAGAGUGCUUGUUCCAUCACAAUCUCAACAUGUUAGCAAAUAUCUCCCUUUUAAAGACCUUCUCAGAACCUCUGCCACAAACACUGGUUAUCCUUUUGAAAAGACUGAUGUGUUUGGUGAGAUGUUGCUUAUAAAAGGUGAAUCCUAAAUAGUAAACAGUAAUACACAGCCUGGAGAAAUGGUGGUGGAAGCUGAAGUCACUGUCCUUGGUAGUUUUCAAGUCAUUGUCAAAAGAUUAGUUCCUUUUGCUUCUGGCAACAAUCUCCCUAUUCGUUUUUUCAUUUCCUUAUAUAAGGGUUAUAUAGAUUAUGCUAAAGGCUUAAGGAAAUGCAGAAAUAUUUACUCAUGAUAAUAACGUAACCUUUAAAGCUUCUAAGUCUUAGUAGCAAAGAAAGGACUAGCUGCAAAGGAACCGCUGCCUUGCACUUCUGUCAAGAAUUAGGCGAGAACAGUAAGCAUGCAGUCGCUAACAGGUAUUCACAGAUUCAGUUAACGAGAGUGCAAAGUAUCUGGUCAGGUCCCAAGAUAAAUAUCCAAUGUUAAAACACUGUCUCUAACCUCUACAUGUGUGAGGCAGAACCCUACUUGUGUUUUUCUGCACUUCAGAGCAAACUGGAGAACAUUUUGCUUACAGCCCAUGAAGGGGCACUGAUAAAAUGUCAACGGGGACUCCUUUCAGCCCUCAUUAAAAGAACAUAAUUCAUUUUGUGUAUGCAUUUGCUAUACUUUAUGCUCUGCCUUCUAGUUCUCGAGUUAAAUAAAAAGCACCAGAAGUAAAA